rnacentral:rRNA from 1 species
ACGAAGCGCAAGUGACGGUACCUGCAGAAGAAGCACCGGCUAACUACGUGCCAGCAGCCGCGGUAAUACGUAGGGUGCGAGCGUUGUCCGGAAUUACUGGGCGUAAAGAGUUCGUAGGCGGUUUGUCGCGUCGUUUGUGAAAACCCGGGGCUCAACUUCGGGCUUGCAGGCGAUACGGGCAGACUUGAGUGUUUCAGGGGAGACUGGAAUUCCUGGUGUAGCGGUGAAAUGCGCAGAUAUCAGGAGGAACACCGGUGGCGAAGGCGGGUCUCUGGGAAACAACUGACGCUGAGGAACGAAAGCGUGGGUAGCAAACAGGAUUAGAUACCCUGGUAGUCCACGCCGUAAACGGUGGGCGCUAGGUGUGGGUUCCUUCCACGGAAUCUGUGCCGUAGCUAACGCAUUAAGCGCCCCGCCUGGGGAGUACGGCCGCAAGGCUAAAACUCAAAGGAAUUGACGGGGGCCCGCACAAGCGGCGGAGCAUGUGGAUUAAUUCGAUGCAACGCGAAGAACCUUACCUGGGUUUGACAUACACCGGAAAGCCGUAGAGAUACGGCCCCCCUUGUGGUCGGUGUACAGGUGG